UUUUUAAUAUAUAUAUUUACAUAAACUGCUUUAUUGACGUAGCAUGUUUUGAACAGAAAAUAUACAUGUUAGGUUACGAAGAGACUUUUUCUGGAAGACCCUAUAUGCUUUUUCUUCUUAACAAAGCAUAGAGAUAAUGUUUCUAAAGAGAACUUUAAAACUUCCUUUAUUAUAAAAUAUGAAUCAAAACACAAUAAAAAGAGUCGUUAUCUCUUAGUCAGCAGAGUGCUUUCAGUACUGAGCCGUGUUGAAUGCGUGCAGAGAGAUCAUGACUGGAAGAUGAAAUUAUCCUUACUGAAGGGUACUAGAGAUCUGUACAAAAAUAACCUUUAAUUAGAUUUAAAUAUGACAUGUAUUCACUUUGCUGACUUUGGCUUUUAUUGAUUCUUUAUAAUGUGUUAAAAGUAUAGGGCGAUAUCUCACAUCACCUUAGGUAGGACUUUAUGACUGCCUCAGGUCUCAUUGUUAAUGCUCUUACAGCUAUUUACCUCUGUCAGUAAUGAACAGGCUAAUGGGUCAGCAGACCUGACUGUGUGCUGAUCUCUCUGGAUGAUUUUCAUUCAGUCUUCAUCUGCAGCUGGCUUUUCCACGUGGCCUAAGUGAUCUGAAUGUCCUUGCACGUAGAAUAGUUAUCAGAUAUAUAUAACGAGGUAAUCAGAAAAUUGAAGUCGUGUGUGGAACAAAAACCAUCCAGUUUUUAUAUGAGUACACGUACUAUGUGCAAUACAGCAUCCCUCAUAGAAUAACUGUGUAACGGAAAAAAAAAAAAAGUGGCAAUAAAAUCUUAGUGGUUACAGGGCAGAUUUUCAGCGUAGUCCAUCAUCCACAGCUGGAACUCCAUUCUAACAUGGCAGAAUUUCUACCUGUGCUCAGAUACUGUUUGUCAAAACACAUCCAGAUUCCCAGAGGAUUUCAGCACUUUGGGUGCUAAGCGUGUGUAGAAAUACAGUCGUCAGUGUCACAGUAAGAAGAGAUGGACAUCAAGCACUCCAGUAAAUUCUGAUUUUACUGUGGUGAACGGAACUCUCUGUUGUUUUUUAACCUAAUUAUAUGUGCUAAAUACCUGAAUAUUUGACCUGAAUAUUUGAAAGCUCUUGAAAAUCCUGCUUUAAAAUAUUUCCAGUUCAGCAGUGAUCAGAUUUCAAUUUAAUUUUUAAUUAAGACUUAUUUGUUAUGUACAGUAUUAACUUGCAACACUUUUUUAAUUAAAAAAAAAAUGUUAUCUUUAUAGAAUUGACUUAUUUGGAAACUUAACAUAAGCUUCCAAGCCCACAGAAAAUAUGUUGAUGCGUUUCUGUUUAAAAUACAUUUUAAAAAGUAAUUCCCUGUAAAAUGUCUUAGUGGGACUACAUUAGAAAUAAUUUUGGAUGUUUUAGAUAAGAACCCUUUUAAUCCUUGACCCUGAAAUCUGGCUAUAGAAAUGUUGUUGGGAAUACUGCCUUAAUGCUGCUGAGUAUUUCAGCCAUACAGUUCCCAACAUUGCCUGGUUACUGCUCUGAAAACAUCUGGAUGGAAUCGUGGCCGGACAGACAUCUUGGUGCUGUGUAUGAGGUAGCCUUGGUUCUGUGCAUCAGAGUGCCCGUUGACUUCAGCCAGCGUUCUGGACGUGGUAAGGACUUGGAACAUAAGAAUUUUAUCUGUGAGAGCUUUGGGGUCAUUUCGCUCAUCAUAAUACCUCAAAAAUUUAGUGUUUAAGAGGUAUCUUUUAGGACUGUAAUCUGUGUGUUUGACGUACCUCAGGUGCUGGGUGAGAUUUCCAGACAUUCAGCUGAAGAUUUUCAAUGAGGAAAGAAAAGAAAGAAAGAAAGAAACAAAGAAGAAUAAAACAACAGCAACGACCGAAAUCCUACUGUACUGGAGGUUUCAGCUGAGUGUUGAAGAAGAACACCAAACAUUUUGAGACUCAACAAAAUCAUAUGAAUCAGCAACACCAGGAGGAUGUCUGAAAGAUGAUUUCAGUUUCAAGGAUGUAAAUGUACUUCAUUGCUGUGGUUUAGUCACCCUUGGUCAUUCACGAUCCUCCUGCCACAGCCCCCUCCCAGCGCCAGGCUUGCCUCUCCCUUCCCCAGUGUGCUCGGUGAGCUGGAGGAGCUUGUUCACCUGACUCUGCUUGACAAGCAAACAGUUCUGCAUGUGCAUCCCAGGCUCUCAGACCUGCCUUUCUCUGCCAGCUGUUGUGUGGCUGCUCACUCCACUCCUUACAAGCCUGUAUGCAGACCAGCAGAAUCUGUGGAGCCGGACUCAGAAUGAGCAUCAUCUCCAGUGAUCCAGAAGGCUUCACAGCAAGCAGGAGAAGUCUUGCUCCUUGUCACUGUGAUUAGAGGUGUAGGAAGCAGGUAUCCACAUGUGGCAUGGCUGAACAAAGUGCAUGUGCCUUUUUUCGUUAACUAAAUGAGCAGCUCUCUUCAGUGCCCAGCUAAUAAUUCCUCCUGUCUUAUUUUCAGAGGGAAAGCACCACAGCACUUAAAGUGCACUGUAGGGAAUAAGACGUUUCUCUAUGUUUUGGAUAUCUGUUGUGUUUGUCGAAGAGUAUUGAGCACAGCAUGCUUUUGGGCAAUGAGAAUUUAAAAAAUGUGUGGAAAUACUACAUGAGUCCUUUCUAUAUUAGACCAAUCUCACUACCUCUGGCCUCUUUGUAAUUUAUGUUAAUUCACCUCAUGGAAGAAGAAGAGACAACAAAUAUGAGAUUUUGAAGGCUAGAAAAAAGCCUUCCCUUUUCCCUUAAGGGAAAAACUAGCAACGUUUGUGGAUCAGUCUGGAAAAAAUGAAGUUAAUUGAAACGUAGGCAGUAAAUGAGAUGGCUAUUUAGGACUGUGGCUGUGAUGUAUCUGAUUAUUAAAUCCAGGGAGACAGUCCUAAUGACAGAAAUCAGCAAAGAAAAUGUGUUUCUGUGUGCGUGUGUUACUGUGUGUGUUUGGGUAUUGCAAUCCUGUCCUUCGGUGCGGUGCUUUCCCUUGGACGAAUGGACCUCAGUUUUCAUGAGCGGAGGAAGCAAAGCUGUCAGUUGUCUGUUAAGUCUCCAGUGUAAUCCCAGGCAGUGCUACCACUAAUUUCCCUCCAGACAAGUCUUUAUAGUCCUCGGUGUAUUUCCAGAGAAAUAUUUUUGUUUUCCACAGGGGAAUCUCUUGGGAAAGUUUCCUGGGAAUUCCUCUGGAUCUGCAGGUAGAACAUGUGUGGAGAAGGAGGGAGACAGAAAGAAAAUGCAGGAUUAAAGGAGAGGGGAUAUAAAGGAGUAUAUGUUAACAUUUAACACAGAAGGAGGAAGUGGUUUAUUACAUUAGGCCAAACAGCUAGACAGACCCUGUUUUAUAGAUGCUGACAUAGGCUUAUCUCACACCAUGUUAAAGGUUAUAGCACUAAUGGCUUAAAAUCUAGCAAAUUGAUAUUCCUACAGUGAAUGUGUCAAUCUUUCACAUUGUUAAUCUAUGUAAACAAAUCUCUUCAGAAAAAUAAGAUUUUACUGCUUUGAGUCAUUUGCCAGAACCUCUCUUCACUUGAUUUUGAUUUGUAGCUGUAGGCUUGCAUUAGAACUUUUUGAAAAACUUUUCAGGUAAGUAAUUAUCCACUCCCUCUGGGUGACACAAAGUUUUUGAAUUUGCAAGGAUCUGUUUCUCUGCUAUGAAAUAUAACUUGCAAAUAUUUUUAUAUUAUAAUUACAUUCUGCCUUUAUCUUUCAUAUCGUUUGUUCAUCUUUCAUUCCGUACUUUGUGACUGCAAUGUCACUGAUUGAUGCAAUAAGUGCAGUUAAUUUUACUUCUGAAUUUUAGGAAAGGAUUUGUCAAUCAAUACUAUUCACUGGAGUAUCUUAGUAACCGUGUCUAAUUUCUUAGCUUUUCAUUCUGUUUUACUUAAUAGUUUAGAAGUGAAAGUUCUCUAACAGCUACCUGUCAUUCUGAAUUUUGGUGUUCAUAAAUGGAAGGAUGAGUGCCUGUUUGCAUCCCACACUGAACACAGCUCUAGUCUGACAACAGUGAUGGUUGGUAGGCUGCUACGAUUAGGUCCUUGUUCUUACCUCAUUCACUAGGCAAAAUAGCACAAGCUGCAUCUUCAAGCAAUAAGAGCACACAGAGGAAGCAUGGACAACCAGAAAUGUAUGCUUCAAAUUGGAGAGAUCAAAUUCAUUCUUUGAGAGGACUGGAUUGCAUAAACACUUUGCAUAUGGCAGAUAUCUCAACGUAGGACACGAUUCCCCCUUAUUUACAGUAGAUUCUGCUAGUGUCAAUAAGAGGUUUACAGAAAGAUGUUCAUUAUCAUCAAGUAGUAACUACUGUUUAGUUAGCACCAUUAUUAUUUUGUAUACAGCAGUACCUGAUUGGAAAAAAAAAAAAACAUUAAAACCACAGUGGUGUGCUCUGUAUUUUUCCUUAUUUGUUGUCCUUUCAACUUCCCCAUCAGCUUUUAACAUCAAUCGACA
ensembl:lncRNA